rnacentral:rRNA from 1 species
UCGACUGGGGAGAUUCAGCGUCAGCGGCGUUGGCUCGACAUAGUGUGUUAUAUCGUGGACUUCUGUCUCGAUUUUCGUUAUCUCUAUGCCGUGUCCGAUGUCGUCGUCGUGCACUUCUCCUCUAGUAGAACGUCGUGACCCGUUGGGUGCCGGUCUACGGCCCGAGGUGCAGACUGUCGCGUCGCUUCGGCGCAUGCGGCAGAGCCUCGGUCGCCCGGCCGGCUGCUCGGCGGUAGGACACAUGGUAUCUGGCCGCAAUUUUCGAACUGCGUCGGGCCCUCCGCAAGCGAGGUCAGUGUCUCGGAGGUACGGACCCUAGUGCCGUCACCGAGCCUGGCCAGCUGUUGGCAGGUGGAGAUCUCAGACGGGCAAAUAAUGGUACCGGUCGGCGACGCUACUGCUUUGGGUACU